rnacentral:rRNA from 1 species
AGUGAACGCUGGCGGUAGGCCUAACACAUGCAAGUCGAACGGCAGCACAGUAAGAGCUUGCUCUUACGGGUGGCGAGUGGCGGACGGGUGAGGAAUACAUCGGAAUCUACUUUUUCGUGGGGGAUAACGUAGGGAAACUUACGCUAAUACCGCAUACGACCUACGGGUGAAAGCAGGGGAUCUUCGGACCUUGCGCGAUUGAAUGAGCCGAUGUCGGAUUAGCUAGUUGGCGGGGUAAAGGCACACCAAGGCGACGAUCCGCAGCUGGUCUGAGAGGAUGAUCAGCCACACUGGAACUGAGACACGGUCCAGACUCCUACGGGAGGCAGCAGUGGGGAAUAUUGGACAAAGGGCGCAAGCCUGAUCCAGCCAUACCGCGUGGGUGAAGAAGGCCUUCGGGUUGUAAAGCCCUUUUGUUGGGAAAGAAAAGCAGCAGGUUAAUACCCCGCUGUUCUGACGGUACCCAAAGAAUAAGCACCGGCUAACUUCGUG